UAGCCGUCACCACAUUGACUCCAUAACCCAAGUUUGCCACCCAGUUCAAACGACGUCGUUCCAAUCAAUUACAAAAGCAGAGUGUGUGUUUUACCUUCGCCGUCACCAAAGAAAAACGAAAACAGAAACAAUGGCAUUCACAACAACCACACCUCAAAACCUCACCACCUUCACCACCUCCUCACACAAACCCAAACUUCCAUUCUCUCCCUCUCACUCCCUCACAUUCCCCACUCACCCAAACCAAACCCUAACUUCACGCGCCAUCUCCACCGCCAUUUCCACCUCCACGCGCAUCCACUCUCUCUUCACCCCACGCGCCACCUCAUCCCCUUCUUCCUCCACCACCGCCGCAGAAACAACCUUCCACGGCCUCUGCUACGUCGUCGGCGACAACAUCGACACCGACCAAAUCAUCCCCGCUGAGUACCUCACUCUCGUUCCGUCAAAACCCGACGAGUACGAGAAGCUGGGAACCUACGCGCUCAUCGGCCUCCCGUCCUCCUACGCCACGCGUUUCGUCGAGCCCGGCGAGUCGAAAACCAAGUACACAGUCGUCAUCGCCGGCGCCAACUUCGGCUGCGGAUCAUCCCGUGAACACGCGCCAGUUGCGCUUGGCGCGUCGGGUGCAGCGGCCGUGGUUGCGGAGUCAUACGCGAGGAUAUUCUUCCGGAACUCAGUGGCGACCGGAGAAGUUUACCCGCUGGAAUCGGAGGGGAGGUUGUGCGAGGAGUGUAGGACUGGUGAUGUUGUUACGAUUGAGUUGAAGGAGAGUAAGCUGAUCAAUCAUACCACUGGAAAGGAGUAUGCGCUGAAAUCAAUUGGAGAUGCCGGCCCUGUUAUCGAGGCCGGUGGGAUCUUCGCUUAUGCGAGGAAGACCGGCAUGAUUCCGUCUCAUUGAGAGGUGGUUAGCUGUUGUGAUUUGGUACCUUUUGCAGCUUUACUAGCUGAUAGAUAUUCAAGAUGGCUAUUUAUGAUUGUUCUUCCCACCCAUGGAAGCUAGAAUGGACAUGGAUUUUGUUGGAUAAUUGGAGUCAUUUUCACAGAUAGACUAUUGUAUUGUCUUGGGUUUAAUGCUAUUUAGAGUGUUGUAUUGUCGGCGCUAUAAUUGUUAACAUUCUAGGAAUGUGUAGUUUUAUUUAAGGCUUCCAUUUAGAACUUGGGACUUUUGUUUGCAUCAUACUUGUUGCCUAAGCAGGAUUUGUAGUAUAUCCUCUUUUUGUAUUUGAAUGCAUAAAUUUAAAAAAAUAAUAAUAACGAAUGUGUGUAGAAUUAUAUAUGUA